GGAGAUCGCUAUUUUUUCUUUUAUUUUUCUAUCAUUGAUUGAUCACCGACGGUCAAUAUCUUCAGAGAAGAGAGAUAAAGGGAUGAGAAUCCUAUCCUAGGGAUGAGACGUCGCAACCGAUGGCGUCGGUGGCCGAAAAAGAGAGGAAAGGGUCCGGCCGAAAUAGAGCAAAAUAGGAUCAUGAUGUUUUGUGGAUUUUUCGAUGAUCCCGACGACCGACGAGGGUGCACGAGGCCAUAGAAAGGAGGGAAAGG
rnacentral:lncRNA from 1 species